AUGCUUUGUGCAUAUGCUGCGUUAUGUUGCAGGGAGAGCGCAGGUGAAAGCGAACGUCUGCGGGCAUUGAGGCACAGUAGCCGCGGGCAAGGAACUGGAGUUGGGGUUUUCCUGCGGCGGCGAAGUCCAUUUCCCCGAGCUACGCGAGAUGAGGGAGCUGCGCUGCCUCCCACAUCUGCAGCGUGUGCCUGGGAUGGAAGAGGACGCACUUUAAUCUCUGCCAAGCAUUUUCCCCGAAUUGCAUUGAGUACCAGAACCGGUGCCUCGUACGAUUUCUGGAAGAGCCUUUUAAAAAUGCCUUUCCCGGAGAGCCGUUUAAAGAAUAAAAAUAAUUUAAAGUGGCAACCCUUUGUGUUCUAGGAGCAAAACUUUUUGUCUGCUGUGAAAAAAAAGUGAUCGAAAAUGAAUAUGAAUUUGCGGGACGUGAAAGAAUCUUUAAGUGGAAAAUUAAAUAAUCCUGUCUUUAAUGCUUAAUGAACAAUGGAGAACACAACAGUCAAGAAGGGCAUAAUUACCAGAUUUGUAUCUCUCGACAUUACCAUAUUCUAGGGUUUCAAGCGAUACAUUUUACGGUUUCCUUUUCCCUCUCCCCGCUCCGUUCCCAUCGCUCUCUCGGAAGAGGCGGCGGAGCGGGGCGAGGUGCUGCAGCCCCCAGGGAGCGCAGGCAGCCCCCGCUCCUCUGGCCCCGUGGGGAUGCCCCCGGGAGCGGCCCGGCGCGAUGCGGAGAGCGAAACUUCCUCCGACCCGCGGGGAAAAGCCCGGAGGAGUGAGGAGCUCGUGUGGAGGGUGGAAAGUUAUGAAGUGAUACGCGCUCCUCCGGCUCCGACCCCUACCUCCUCCCAUUCCCUCAGCCUCUCUCCGUUACACCGCAAAAAAUUUCCACGAGCCUUUUAUAGUUCAUCUCCCUGACUCGGGGGUGAAUAUAAAUACAUAAGAAACGAUGCGCUCGCUGAAGUUGGGCUACUAGAAGCGCGGCCACUUCGGGGCCAAACGGCUCAGCCGAGUAAAUCUGUGCGCGCCGCUCGGGGUGCGCGCAGGGGAAGGGACGCCCACCCAUGUCCUCUCCCCGCUCCGCCGAAGCGCCGUGCGGGCAGCGGGACGCAGCAGCUGCUGUGCUCUGCCCAGUUACACCUACUCUGCUACUUGCCGUCCUCUCUUGCGGUGUUUCUCGCAUCCUUUCAUCGCGUUAUUUCUUUCCCCCUGCUUAAUAAUAUUAGGUACUUCUCAGUACUUUGUUGGUGGUUUUUUUUGCCGUUAUUAUUGUUGUUUUUAAUUAACAUUAAUGGGAUACCUGGUUACGGGUUGGCUUUAAUUUGUAUCCCCGCGCAAGCAGGAUGAAAGCCUUCAGAAAGUUUAUCUGCAGGAUCGACUCCACAAAGACCAUAUAAGUAGUUCCAUCUAUACUUAACGCUUUAUGCAAGACUGUUAUUCUUAAGCCCAUCAAAAUUGCCAACAUGCAGUUAAGAUGGAUGUGGCGUUCCGUGCAAUCCGACUGCUGUAUUUCAUUGCUAUUUUGCUCAGCAACUUUAUUCAAAGGGCGUGCAAUUAUUUCGACUUUAUUUUCUAUCGUCUCCUGCUCUUCCUGGCAAGCUGAAGCAGUCUCUUCCUUCCCCCCCCUUUUUUUUUCUGCACCAUAACUUUUGUUUGAGGACCCCGGGGUUAAAUUCAACGUAAUUUCUUCCAUUUAAAGCUGAAACAACUGACCGCUAAUUCCUUCUCACAUGAGCAAAGAUAUUACCAUAGUAAUAUUAUUAUUGGUAAGAAGAGGUAAUUGAUAACACCACCUGCCACUCUGCAGCAAUCACGAUGAUAAAUGUUUCCAUCAGAGGGAAAUCUGUGCUUGGUCUACCACAGCCUAAGCCAAACAGCAUGUCAAAUGUCAAUUAUAAAGAUGUUUCUUUUCUAUUACAAUUUUUGUGUGUGUGUGUGUGUAAGGUAACUGGCCCCACCACGAGAUGUACAGAACCAGCUCAGAGCAUAACACUGCCUGAAUGUUUUGCCUUAACCAUUCAAGUUACUUUUUAUUUAAUAUCACUCUUCUCUUGGAUCUAAAUAAACAUCAAUUCAUGUACA
rnacentral:lncRNA from 1 species